GCCCCGUCCUUCCCCAGCUCACGGCCAGCGCGGCAGCGGGGCCACGAUGACGAAGCAGUUCAAUCGCACCGCCAGCUGGCCAACCAGACCGUGGGCAGGGAUAGAGACCAGGGAGAGGAUUAAAGAGGGCGGCGUGAGAGGAGAGACAGAGGCUUCCUCCUAAAGCUGGAUACAAUUAGAAAAUAUAGUUGGCGCAACUAAUCCUGAGAGAGCAACAGGAAGAGGGCGGCGCCAGCCUGCACACACCGGGAGAAAAGAGCAGACCUCCCUGAACGGGGUGACGCACCAGAGCUGGGGCUCCGCGACCCGAGCCCCUCCCCCACCCCAGCUCACCGGCGGGAGGAAGAGAAACAGAGCAGGGAGGGAAUGGAAGGCCUGGGACUGCUGAAUACGUGGCUCCUGAGAUCUGCGCUGGGAGCACAAACCUACAUUUCAUGCCUUAGCCUUUUUCCUUGCCCCAGGACCUCAUCUUUUCCCAGAAAGCUACUUAAAUCAAAGUUCUAUUGAUGGAAACACAUUGCAUCCUCUGGCCAGGAACCCCUGGGGUAAGGUGUUCAGGAACUGGGAGUAUAGCCCGUGUGAUUCUGACAUGGAAGCAAACAAGGCAGGCAGAUGAUCGGCAGAUCUUGAUUUGAAGUAUACCCACCUCUGAAUUUUUCAUGAAUAAUUAGCUCAUGAACAACCAUCAGGUCUAUUCCCUGCUUGUAAACACUUUGUAAUAGCUGGGUCAAUCCGUGAGAUUGGGUAGGAAGAAGGAUUAUGAAAAGAUAUUUAAGAAGUUCUAGUAUGUCCAUAACCUUAACUUUAAAAGUAUCAUGAAAUAAUCUACAUAAAUUGAAAUCCUUUACAAUUACAUUUGUGGCCUAUAGUUUUGUUCAGGAAACAUCCUAAAGAAUAAAUCCUGAGACCUUUCUGGUUGCUUUCCCUGAGAUGUUCCCCUUCCCUCCACCUGUCUUUCUCCUAGAGAUUCCCACCCCUCUGACAGUGCUAAGGCAUCCUGUGAUAUUUGUUCCCUUUAUGGCACUUCUCAUAAUUGUACCUAUGGAAAGAUUGGUGAAAUAUUUAUCUGUUUAUCCACUACUAAAAUGUAGAUGUAAAACAAGUUUAUUUCACUGAGACACUUAAAGCUUCAAAGGAAUUAACACUUGAAGAAUUUAGAGUGGAAAUGAGACUCUAGAGUCUUUCCAUAAAUGUCACAUGUAACACUACUCUGAAGGCUAAAUGCCAAGAAAUAAGCAAGCACUUCAAGGUAAAGUCCGAGGUACUUAAUCACAGCAAGAGUAGCACAGCGGUGGCUCAACUCCACUGACAUUCUUUGGCUGCUACAGAUGACUUAACCUCAGAAUUACUAUUUUUGAGAGCUGUCUUUAAGGGCAAGAACAUUUCCAAAUUUGGGAAAGAUCUAAUUGAUUUUAUAUUUACAUGGCAAAUAAAAAGCAACUGCAAACUGUUUCAUAACAUUUAAAACAUUGGUUUUCUUUUGUAAAUGCUCUGGUGUUUUAAUUUUGGUAUACUGUUGUCUAAAUAUGAACUGCAAGCUAAAUCAGGAAAUUUUUAAAAACCUAUUAGAAGCUUAAGUAGAAAAAACAGAAAACUUGAGAUUUGAAAACUAGAAAUAGUUAUUGGCUAUCUUUUCUAUUAGUAGUACUGAAACAUGAUAAUUAUAAAGUAAUAUUAAUAUAUUUUUGAAUUUUGAGUUAAUAAACAUAUUUCUGUUUGCUGUCACUUAUUAUGUAAUAGAUAUUAAAAAAUGAAUUAGUCAAAAUAUCCACUUUAAGGCAUUCUCUAGUGUUGUAAAUCAAAGCCCAUUCCAUUUGCUUCCACUAUACACUAUCUUAUAAAGUCUGUUAAAAAGAAAAUAGUUUUAUAGUUGCUGUACUUUAUCACAACAUAUCAUUAAAUUGUUUACCUAAUUGGCUCCUUAAGUGUCAAUUUUUAAAGGGUAUCCUAUUAUUUUCCUAUAGGAAUUUAGCAGCAAACCAAUGAAUGAAUCUAAUUAUUCUAUUUACAGUUAGUAGUUCCACUAUCCCAGAUACUAAGAUAGACCUACUACUGUCAGUAAAGGAUUGUGGUUCAAUCAACCAAUCAUUAUUAAACAGCCUAUAAUUACCUCUUUAGAAUCAAUCUCUUCCUAUAAAUCAUUCUUCAAAAGAAUUUUCAGUUCUCAGCCAAGAAUAAGUUAGAAUCAGCAAGUGAACUGAAAGUUCCAAUAGCAUUAGCCAAGAGAUGGUCAGCUACGUUCACCUUGAGAUCUAUGUACUAGCAAUGUAUUCAAGAAUUGCUGAUGCUCACAAAAAUGAAGCUGUGGGCAAACACUCUUGUCUUUAUAACAAGCACAGUGAGGGAAUUUUCCGCCCCCCUUUUUCCUAAGUCAAGUUCUACUUGGGGUCCUAGUGUGGCACAGAGGCUCUUAGAUGCUUGCAGUUACCAUAGUAAUGGAUAAGCCAUAUUAUCCAGAUAUGGUCAAAUCAAGGGAGGAACCCACAACACAUAAAAUGAAUAGAAGUUUCUUCACAGGAAGAGAAUUUUCUUCAAAGACUUUAUCAGUUUCACACCAUGAAAAUUUUUUCUGAUUAGUUAGUGUUUAAAGUAGUGAAAUAAAACUGGGCAUAUUGAAGCCAUAUUUUAGAAGUGCCAUUGAAGAAGGUCCACUUGUAAUUUUCUGGUCAUUACAUAGCUAGCAUUCUAACAGUUUCUAAAGAAUUAUUCUUGGCCGCCUUCUAUUCUCUACAACUGACAGUUUGAUAACGAACCCAUCAACUUCUCAAUGUUAAAUUAAGACUGAUAGAGGCUGAGAACACCUUUGCAAAACUACAUCUUCUAUUCUGAGAGUUCUUAAAGACUUUUAGCAGAAACUAUUAAAAUGUUCCUGUGAGGCUAUUGUAACAUUUAGUGGAUGUUUUUCUCAGAAAAAUUCAGAUGCAAGAAAGUGAUAUGUUUCCAAAGCAACAAAAGCCAUUGUGAGUGUCCAACCAUAAACUUGAGAGAUAAUCAAAUAUCUCCUUGUUUGGAACUCAAAUUCUUCUGAGUUUGUUCCCUGUGUCUACCUCUUAGAUUGUCUCUCUGAUACCCCCCGAAACACACACUCUCUCUCUUUCUCCUUACCCCUUCCCCACCUUCUACAAAAUUUACUAAGAUUGUACUUAAUAGUAGAACAAAUAAAUCAGUUUAACUAUGGAAUCUCUAGGUUCUAGCUCGGUCAUACAUUCUCCCUUGAUUUCUGUAUUUCCUCCAUCCAAAUUGCUUUUUUGCUGCUCUUUGCUGGAGAAGGAAAGACAAUUCUUUCAUCUUUUAAUGCAGAGUUUUGAGAUGCUUUGAUAAAAUUUGUUUUUUCUCUUACACUUGUUAAAAUCAAAACAAGUGAAACUAACUUUAAAAAUUCUGCGAGCAGACAAAACCAGUUUAUGCAAGAAAAGCUUAAUUUAGCUUAUUAUGCAAGACUAACCUGACCUGGGUCAUUUCUUGCUUAUGCCUCUGGAAGUCACAAGCAAAACUUAAAGUGUUUUCUAAGGUGGAUAUGAGGUAACCAUUGACCAAUUCCCUAUCACUUCAGACAUUUCUAAAAUACAAUCAAUUGUGAAGAAUAAACAGUCCCUGAACCUCAUUCCAUGUUUCGGUUCGAGGGCUCCCACUUUACAAAUUGUCUUUUUGGUGUGUGCAUAAUAAACUUUUACUAAUUACUACUUAGGUGAUUCACUGGUUUUACUU